rnacentral:rRNA from 1 species
AUUGAACGCUGGCGGCAGGCCUAACACAUGCAAGUCGAGCGGCAGCGGGAAAGUAGCUUGCUACUUUUGCCGGCGAGCGGCGGACGGGUGAGUGAUGCCUGGGGAUCUGCCCAGUCGAGGGGGAUAACUACUGGAAACGGUAGCUAAUACCGCAUACGCCCUACGGGGGAAAGCAGGGGACCUUCGGGCCUUGCGCGAUUGGAUGAACCCAGGUGGGAUUAGCUAGUUGGUGAGGUAAUGGCUCACCAAGGCGACGAUCCCUAGCUGGUCUGAGAGGAUGAUCAGCCACACUGGAACUGGGACACGGUCCAGACUCCUACGGGAGGCAGCAGUGGGGAAUAUUGCACAAUGGGGGAGACCCUGAUGCAGCCAUGCCGCGUGUGUGAAGAAGGCCUUCGGGUUGUAAAGCACUUUCAGCGAGGAGGAAAGGUUGGUAGCUAAUAACUGCCAGCUGUGACGUUACUCGCAGAAGAAGCACCGGCUAACUCCGUGCCAGCCGCCGCCGUAACAC